rnacentral:misc_RNA from 1 species
ACACAAAAGGUCUGGUUUGUAGUGUCAUUUGCCAACACAGUACCUGCACCUGUCAAGUGCAAGAUAUAAACCGGCACCCCAUUGGCAUCAAAAAGUCCCCAGUUCUUCUCAGAAACUGGUCCAGGACUCAAAUCUUCAUUAUAAAGCUCAUAAAUAUAAGUACUAACUGCAAUCCCCGGAUGUUUGGGAGUGCCGGUGUUAUUAAGAACAUGCCUAAUUAGGUUACUGUUGUAAGUAUUUGCAUUAUCGAUUGUUGCAUCUGGCUCACUGGAGUCACCUUUGGAGGGCCAACCAGACUCAGUCACAACAAUGGGAACAUUGGUGAAGUUCAGAUCGGACAUUGCAAAAUAUGCUGCAUCAACGACGGCAUCAAAGACAUUAGUGUAAUGAAGAAGUGUAUUAGCAUCCACAGCUUCCUUGUUAGGAGGGAGGGGACGGAAAAGUGCAUAGUCUAAAGGGAUCACACCAUUUGAUUGCAUGUAAUCAUAAUAUGGAUAUACGUUUAGCAUAAAGUACGACCCAGUUGACUGCAAAAAUUUCAGCAAGGGAACCAUGAAUGGGUCCCAUGUACGAUUAAAGAAAGCUUGGGAAGGGGGGAAGGAAUCUAGGAUGAUGGAAGAAGAGUGUGGAGUAGAGACUUUAAUUUGGCUAUCAAGAUUAGAUGCAACAAGGGCAGAGUGGAUGAACUUUAGGGCAGAAACUAUGACCGGGGCAGCAUUUGGUAGGGUAGUUAGGACUUCAGAUCCAACUGCUAUGGCUGUGAUGUUGGUGGCAGGAACAUGGACUAUUACAUUGCGAGCAACCCAGUUGGCUGCAGUAGCAUUUGAUUGACCAAUACCAAGAAGCUGAUCAUUAGGAACAGAAACUGUUACACGGAUGCCGGUGUUGGCAAGUGCAAGCAACAUGGCUCGAUCAGCAUCAUAGAGCCUGACAUGUCGGAUAUUCUGAGCCUUAAGAAGCCCCACCACUUGAGUUGGACUUGGCAUGUCUGAGAGGGCAGUACCAACAUUCACACCAAUGAAAGCAUCAUUUUCAUAUCUUUAGUUCAUACACAACUGCUCCCAAAAAUGUUAAACCUUAGUUGAACUCCUUUUACAGCAGUGAGGUACAUCCCCAAUGACUUCAUCAGCAGAAAACGCAGAUACUACCAAUAAGAAGAGCAAGAGCAGCACAGCCAUAAAAAUCUUUGCUUACAGGUACAGGUACUCAAUCUUCAAAACACAAAACCAAGAAAGGAAAUCUAUAGACUAAACCAGAAAACGAGAAAAUAACAACAAAAACAAGGGGGAAAAAGAAUCUAGAGAGAGAGAGAGAGAGA